rnacentral:rRNA from 1 species
GGCGAACGCUGGCGGCGUGCUUAACACAUGCAAGUCGAACGGAAAGGCCCUGCUUUUGUGGGGUGCUCGAGUGGCGAACGGGUGAGUAACACGUGAGUAACCUGCCCUUGACUUUGGGAUAACUUCAGGAAACUGGGGCUAAUACCGGAUAGGAGCUCCUGCUGCAUGGUGGGGGUUGGAAAGUUUCGGCGGUUGGGGAUGGACUCGCGGGUUAUCAGCUUGUUGGUGGGGUAGUGGCUUACCAAGGCUUUGACGGGUAGCCGGCCUGAGAGGGUUGCCGGCCACAUUGGGACUGAGAUACGGACCAGACUCCUACGGGAGGCAGAAGUGGGGAAUAUUGCACAAUGGGCGGAAGCCUGAUGCAGCAACGCCGCGUGCGGGAUGACGGCCUUCGGGUUGUAAACCGCUGUCGCCUGUGACGAAGCGUGAGUGACGGUAAUGGGUAAAGAAGCACCGGCUAACUACGUG